rnacentral:rRNA from 1 species
GUAGGUGGCAAGCGUUGUCCGGAAUUAUUGGGCGUAAAGCGCGCGCAGGCGGUUCUUUAAGUCUGAUGUGAAAGCCCACGGCUCAACCGUGGAGGGUCAUUGGAAACUGGAGAACUUGAGUACAGAAGAGGAAAGCGGAAUUCCACGUGUAGCGGUGAAAUGCGUAGAGAUGUGGAGGAACACCAGUGGCGAAGGCGGCUUUCUGGUCUGUAACUGACGCUGAGGCGCGAAAGCGUGGGGGAGCAGACAGGAUUAGAUACCCUGGUAGUCCACGCCGUAAACGAUGAGUGCUAAGUGUUAGGGGGUUUCCGCCCCCCCCUUAGUGCUGCAGCUAACGCAUUAAGCACUCCGCCUGGGGAGUACGGCCGCAAGGCUG